rnacentral:rRNA from 1 species
GCGUACCUUUUGUAUAAUGGGUCAGCGACUUAUAUUCUGUAGCAAGGUUAACCGUAUAGGGGAGCCGGAGGGAAACCGAGUCUUAACCGGGCGUUAAGUUGCAGGGUAUAGACCCGAAACCCGGUGAUCUAGCCAUGGGCAGGUUGAAGGUUGGGUAACACUAACUGGAGGACCGAACCGACUAAUGUUGAAAAAUUAGCGGAUGACCUGUGGCUGGGGGUGAAAGGCCAAUCAAACCGGGAGAUAGCUGGUUCUCCCCGAAAGCUAUUUAGGUAGCGCCUCGUGAAUUCAUCUCCGGGGGUAGAGCACUGUUUCGGCUAGGGGGCCAUCCCGGCUUACCAACCCGAUGCAAACUGCGAAUACCGGAGAAUGUUAUCACGGGAGACACACGGCGGGUGCUAACGUCCGUCGUGAAGAGGGAAACAACCCAGACCGCCAGCUAAGGUCCCAAAGUCAUGGUUAAGUGGGAAACGAUGUGGGAAGGCCCAGACAGCCAGGAUGUUGGCUUAGAAGCAGCCAUCAUUUAAAGAAAGCGUAAUAGCUCACUGGUCGAGUCGGCCUGCGCGGAAGAUGUAACGGGGCUAAACCAUG